UACGUAGGGUGCAAGCGUUACUCGGAAUUACUGGGCGUAAAGCGUGCGUAGGUGGUGGUUUAAGUCCGUUGUGAAAGCCCUGGGCUCAACCUGGGAAUUGCAGUGGAUACUGGGUCACUAGAGUGUGGUAGAGGGUAGCGGAAUUCCCGGUGUAGCAGUGAAAUGCGUAGAGAUCGGGAGGAACAUCUGUGGCGAAGGCGGCUACCUGGACCAACACUGACACUGAGGCACGAAAGCGUGGGGAGCAAACAGG
rnacentral:rRNA from 1 species